UGGCAGUGUCAGAGAUGUUUGUGCCUGUGCUCUACAAUGAUAACAGUGUUGCAGGGAAGGUUUUUGCAUUUUGUCUGUUUUUGCUCACUCCACUGCCCAGGAACUGGUGUUUCUGGUUUCUUUGCCAUGCUGACCGAGGCUCAACCCACACCCAAGAGAAGAACAUAAUUGGUGGUUGAUGUAAAAAGACCCAACCGAGCACAAGUCUGGCUGGGAUGCAAGGAACGCGCUCUUAUCAGGUGCAGUGUGAAACCCCUCUGCUGAGCCUAAAACCACUCAUACCUCAGUGACAAGUGGUUGGAAAUCAAGUUAAUUAUAUUCCACAGCACUACACAUGCAGUCUGUAAGCUGUAUUCACCUACUAUUAUCUGUCUUAACCUUCAUGACUUUGAAACACCCUCUCCAAAUUAAAGGUCGGAAAUGUGUCAAAACCUGACAUUAUGAGUCCUGGUGUUUUUAUUUUUAUUUAGUGCGAGUGUGUCUCGCCUCUGUCAGCCUGGACUUGUUUGACUCCCCCGUCUCCAUCUCGGAGAUUAGUUUAAGCAGUUUUGGAAGCUCAUGAUUGAGUGCCGGGACGUUUUCAGUCUUUUGUCAGAUCAAAAACAAAAAAUGUCAAGAUGGCCUGAGGAUAAAGAAACAAAACGGGUGUUCAAACAGAAGUUCAAAAACCUUAUUUUUCAAAGCAGACUUUGGAAGGUAGUUUUAAAA